UAUCCAAGGUCCCUUUAAGAUAGAAGAUCGAGUAAUGUAGAGCGAUUUGACAUUCAAGAAGAAAUAGAAGAAAGAGGACAUUUGACAUCUUAAGGGGACAAUUGACAGCUUGCAAAACGAUCUCAAAAAAAAAAUAAUAUUUUCGAUUGAUGAUGAUCCGCGCCGGACGCGACAACCGCGACAUGAUGCAGUGCGUGCAGUGUUCGCUGAACACGGUGAAGGCGAUCCGGAGUGAGCUGAGAAAAAAAAACAGCGACGACGACGAAGCGGUGGCAGCACGAAAACCACAUUCUCAGCGGCGGAAUUGCGUGCGGACCGACGCUUUCCAGGUUGACCUCCAGGCGCGAAUCCGUGAUGGAAAAUCCGGGGAUCGGAAUUCGGCCGUUGGCACGUGAGAUGGGGUGGCACCAUCCACUAUAAAAAUGGCCCUGAAUGACGACCUCCGGUACUUCUCUUACAAGCGCCGAAGAGGUCAGUUGUUAACAGAGAAGGGCCCCGAGCGUCGGUUGGGGAACGCCAAAAAGCUGCUCAACUUGCUAAAGCAUCCCGUGGAGCCUGGCACGGCUUCACCGCGCCGAAUGUGUGGCCUCCCAGCUCCCUGGAUCUUAAUCCAACGGAUUAUUUCGUGUGGGGCGCGGUGGAAAGGGACAUCAACAGAACCUCUAGCAACACCAAGGCGGAGCUGAUGGCGAAAAUCAGGUCCGUUUUCGCGGCCCUACCCCGCGAAACUGUCGCCAGGGCAUGUUCCCGGUUCCAGAGACGGGUGGAGGCUGUAAUAGAGGCCGAGCGCGGAUAUUUUGAAUAAAAUGAAUAAAAUACAUGGUGACUGACAAAAUUACCCCGAACGCCCAGUAGGCGAACCUGCACCUGCUUAAUAGGGCUGUCAAAAUAAAACUUAGAUGGGUUAAAAUUAACAUUUGACCAGUCCAAAUAGGGGAGAGUAGGGCAAAAUGGACCUGUUAAAGAUUGUAGUCUGUAUCUUAUUGGUUAAACCACUUUACACUGUUAUUUUGACGGCAAUCUAUACUUCAACGUCUUUUUCAUGAAAAACAAUCAGAAGUUUCCACAUGAAUAACAAAAAUAAAUAUGUUUAAAAUGAAUUUAAAAAAUGAACCUCAAAAAUCAAGAGAAUGUUUUGUGCGGGAUAAAAUCCCCGGUAUCAAAAUCCAUAGAUUUUGGUCUCAUUGGGCUCUAUCUAGGCGCCCAUUAAAAGAAUUGCUUACCCAACUGGCAUUGUCACGUUGCAAACGGUAUUUCUUGGUAUUGUGUUACAUUUUGGGUUUAUACAGUUAAUAUUUCGAAUAUGAAUUGAAAUGAGAAUUCACAAAUGAUGUAGAAUGAACUAAACUACAGCGUAUAUAUUAAACUAUUUGACUAAUUUGGACUGCAUGACUGCAUGAACUGCUCGAAAUACACGAAUAAACUUUGUAAAGAAAUUGUGUAAUGAACUAUUGGAAAAAUUAAUACACAGUUGCAAACAGAUUGGCGAUUA